rnacentral:rRNA from 1 species
CCUACGGGGGGCAGCAGUGGGGAAUAUUGGGCAAUGGGCGCAAGCCUGACCCAGCAACGCCGCGUGAAGGAAGAAGGCUUUCGGGUUGUAAACUUCUUGUGUCAGGGAAGAGUAGAAGACGGUACCUGACGAAUAAGCCACGGCUAACUAAGGGACAGCAGCCGCGGUCAUACGUAGGUGGCAAGAGUUGUCCGGAUUUAAGGGGUUUAAAGGGCGUGUAGCCGGGUUGACAAGUCAGAUGUUAAAUCCUGCGGCUUAACCGCAGAACUGCAUUUGAAACUGUUGAUCUUGAGUACUGGAGAGGCAGAUGGAAUUCCUAGUGUAGCGGUGAAAGGCGUAGAUAUUAGGAGGAACACCAGUGGCGAAGGCGGUCUGCUGGACAGCAACUGACGGUGAGGCGCGAAAGCGUGGGGAGCAAACAGGAUUAGAUACCCCAGUAGUC